UCCACGCCGUAAACGAUGAAUACUCGUUGUCUGCGAUAUACUGUAGGCGACUGAGCGAAAGCAUUAAGUAUUCCACCUGGGGAGUACGUUCGCAAGAAUGAAACUCAAAGGAAUUGACGGGGGCCCGCACAAGCGGAGGAACAUGUGGUUUAAUUCGAUGAUACGCGAGGAACCUUACCCGGGUUUAAAUGCAGGACGUAAGACCGAGAAAUCGGUCCCCCUUCGGGCGGACU
rnacentral:rRNA from 1 species